rnacentral:rRNA from 1 species
UACGUAGGUGGCAAGCGUUGUCCGGAUUUACUGGGCGUAAAGAGCGCGCAGGCGGUCGUAUAAGUCGGAUGUGAAAUCCCCCGGCUCAACUGGGGAGGGUCAUUCGAUACUGUUCGACUCGAAGGCAGGAGAGGGAAGUGGAAUUCCGGGUGUAGUGGUGAAAUGCGUAGAUAUCCGGAGGAACACCAGUGGCGAAGGCGGCGUUCUGGACUGCAACUGACACUGAGGAACGAAAGCCAGGGGAGCAAACGGG